AUACCUUUCUCGGCCUUUUGGCUAAGAUCAAGUGUAGUAUCUGUUCUUAUCAGUUUAAUUAAUAUAUGAUAUGUGUGUCAUUGACUCACACGAUAUUAACUCAAUUUUUUAAGGCGGAAGGCUCACGACGGUAGCUUGCUAUCGGGCCCUUCAAGUGUCGCCUUGGUGUUACACUACUGCCUAGGCUUGGCGCACCAAUG